rnacentral:rRNA from 1 species
AUUAGAGUUUGAUCAUGGCUCAGAACGAACGCUGGCGGCGUGGUUUAGGCAUGCAAGUCGAACGAGAAAGUUCUCUUCGGAGGACGAGUACAGUGGCGUAAGGGUGAGUAAUACCUAGAUAACCUACCCACAAGUCUGGGAUAACAGCUGGAAACGGCUGCUAAUACCGGAUAGUUCCGCGAGAGCUCUGGCUCUUGUGGCUAAAGAUGGGGACCCUUCGGGGCCUGUCGUUUGUGGAGGGGUUUAGGCACUACCAGCUUGUUGGUGGGGUAACGGCCUACCAAGGCUAUGACGGUUAGCCGGCCUGAGAGGGUGUUCGGCCACACUGGGACUGAGACACUGCCCAGACUCCUACGGGAGGCUGCAGUCGAGAAUCUUCGGCAAUGAGCGAAAGCUUGACCGAGCGACGCCGCGUGAAGGAUGAAGGCCCUCGGGUUGUAAACUUCUGUCAAGUAGCGAGAACACCAGGGUGUUAAUAACACCCUGCCUGACAAGCUGUUGAAGGAAGCCACGGCUAACUCUGUGCCAGCAGCCGCGGUAAUACAGAGGUGGCGAGCGUUGUUCGGAAUCACUGGGCAUAAAGGGGGUGUAGGCGGCGUAGAAAGUCAGGUGUGAAAUCCCUCGGCUCACCCGAGGAACUGCGCCUGAUACUCCUAUGCUUGAGUUUAGGAGGGGAGAGUGGAACUCCUGGUGGAGCGGUGAAAUGCGUAGAUAUCGGGAGGAACACCAGUGGCGAAAGCGGCCCUCUGGGCUGUACCUGACGCUGAGGCGCGAAAGCGUGGGGAGCAAACCGGAUUAGAUACCCGGGUAGUCCACGCCCUAAACUAUGGAUGCGGGGUAUGAGGGGUAUCGA